AACGAACGCUGGCGGCAGGCUUAACACAUGCAAGUCGAGCGCCCCGCAAGGGGAGCGGCAGACGGGUGAGUAACGCGUGGGAACGUAUCUUUUGGUUCGGAACAACUCCGGGAAACUGGAGCUAAUACCGGAUAAGCCCUAACGGGGAAAGAUUUAUCGCCGAAAGAUCGGCCCGCGUCUGAUUAGCUAGUUGGUGAGGUAACGGCUCACCAAGGCGACGAUCAGUAGCUGGUCUGAGAGGAUGAUCAGCCACACUGGGACUGAGACACGGCCCAGACUCCUACGGGAGGCAGCAGUGGGGAAUAUUGGACAAUGGGCGCAAGCCUGAUCCAGCCAUGCCGCGUGAGUGAUGAAGGCCUUAGGGUUGUAAAGCUCUUUUGUCCGGGAAGAUAAUGACUGUACCGGAAGAAUAAGCCCCGGCUAACUUCGUG
rnacentral:rRNA from 1 species